GUAGCUAAUUUCUUUUAGUUUCUUCUUGGCUCUCAGGAUGAAGUUAACCUUCCCUCUGUUCUUCAUGUUGGAAGUGUAUUCAUGAGACUUCAGUUUGGCGUAGUAAUCUGAGAAUUUAUUGAAGAGGAGGGAGAUUGGAAGGCCAUUCAAAAUGAUCCCAAAGGAAAUGCAGCCAAAGGCAAAUAUCCGCCCCAAUAGGGUCUCUGGAUACAUGUCACCAUAGCCUACAGUGGAGAUGCUCACCUGGAAUGAGAAGUUAUUGGUAAACUGAUCAAAAUACAUAAUUUACAAACCCCUCUGACUUUCUUUCUUCCAUAGAAAACUGAAGGAGAAGUUUAGCAGAACGUUAUGUCACACAGUGAAAGUGGAUGGGGACAAUAAGCGGUAAAGCUCCAAAAACACAAUGCAAACUUCAUAAAAGUAGUUCAAAUGACUUGUGCACCAUUUUACAAACCUAAAGAUGUAUAAUGGACAAGCAUGAUCAUCAUUCACUUUUAUUGUGCAGAAAAGAGCAGGGGAUUUUGUGCUAUCGAGAGCAAUAGUGCCAGCCCACUUUUUCAGCAGCCGUGGUUCGAAAAAAGAAAGUGAUACUGGUUUCGAAAGACAUUAGGAUGCCCACCACCAAGAAUGUGGAAUACUGGUAAAGUUGGUAUUUGGGGCGUCGAAUUCAACGCUAUACACCAUGGCAGAGAAUGUGAAGAUCCCCAUGGCAAUAAAGAGAAAGAGACACCCCACCUGGUGAUAGCACUGCCUCAACGUGAAGCCAAACGCUCUCAGCCCCGUGGAGUGACGCGCCAGU